GCCGGGCGCAGUGGCUUACGCCUGUAAUCCCAGCACUUUGGGAGGCUGAGCCGGGUGGAUCACCUGAGGUCAGGAGUUCGAGACCAGCCUGGCCAACAUGGUGAAACCCCGCCUCUA
rnacentral:SRP_RNA from 1 species